GGCGAGUGAAGCGGCAACAGCUCAAAUUUGAAAUCUGGCCCUUUCAGGGUCCGAGUUGUAAUUUGUAGAGGGUGCUUUGGCGUCGGCCGUGGUCUAAGUUCCUUGGAACAGGACGUCACAGAGGGUGAGAAUCCCGUACGUGGCCGCCGGUCUUCGCCGUGUAAAGCCCCUUCGACGAGUCGAGUUGUUUGGGAAUGCAGCUCUAAAUGGGAGAUAAAUUUCUUCUAAAGCUAAAUAUUGGCCAGAGACCGAUAGCGCACAAGUAGAGUGAUCGAAAGAUGAAAAGCACUUUGGAAAGAGAGUCAAAAAGCACGUGAAAUUGUUGAAAGGGAAGCGCUUGCAGCCAGACGUGCCCGCAGUUGCUCACCCGGGCUUUUGCCCGGGGCAUUCUUCUGCGGGCAGGCCAGCAUCAGUCCGGGCGGUUGGAUAAAGGCCUCUAUCACGUACCACCCUUCGGGGUGUCCUUAUAGGGGAGGCGCAACACGGCCAGCCUGGACUGAGGACCGCGCAUUUGCUAGGAUGCUGGCGUAAUGGCUGUAAGCGGCCCGUCUUGAAACACGGACCAAGGAGUCUAACAUCUAUGCGAGUGUUUGGGUGUAAAGCCCGGGCGCGCAAUGAAAGUGAACGGAGGUGGGAACCCCUCGGGGUGCACCAUCGACCGAUCCUGAAGUCUUCGGAUGGAUUUGAGUAAGAGCAUAGCUGUUGGGACCCGAAAGAUGGUGAACUAUGCCUGAAUAGGGUGAAGCCAGGGGAAACCCUGGUGGAGGCUCGCAGCGGUUCUGACGUGCAAAUCGAUCGUCAAAUUUGGGCAUAGGGGCGAAAGACUAAUCGAAACCAUCUAGUAGCUGGUU
rnacentral:rRNA from 1 species